rnacentral:tRNA from 1 species
GGGCGAUUAGCUCAGUUGGGAGAGCACCUGCCUUACAAGCAGGGGGUCAC